rnacentral:rRNA from 1 species
GUGUCAGCAGCCGCGGUAAUACGAAGGGACCUAGCGUAGUUCGGAAUUACUGGGCUUAGAGAGUUCGUAGGUGGUUAAAAAAGUUGGUGGUGAAAUCCCAGAGCUNAACUCUGNAACUGCCAUCAAAACUUUUNAGCUAGAGUAUGAUAGAGGAAAGCAGAAUUUCUAGUGUAGAGGUGAAAUUCGUAGAUAUUAGAAAGAAUACCAAUUGCGAAGGCAGCUUUCUGGAUCAUUACUGACACUGAGGAACGAAAGCAUGGGUAGCGAAGAGGAUUAGAUACCCUCGUAGUCCAUGCCGUAAACGAUGUGUGUUAGACGUUGGAAAUUUAUUUUCAGUGUCGCAGCGAAAGCAAUAAACACACCGCCUGGGGAGUACGACCGCAAGGUUAAAACUCAAAUGAAUUGACGGGGACCCGCACAAGUAGUGGAGCAUGUGGUUUAGUUCGAAGAUACGCGCAGAACCUUACCAACACUUGACAUGUUCGUCGCGACUUUAAGAGAUUAAAGUUUUCGGUUCGGCCGGACGAAACACAGGUGCUGCAUGGCUGUCGUCAGCUCGUGUCGUGAGAUGUUGGGUUAAGUCCCGCAACGAGCGCAACCCUUACUUUUAGUUGCCAUCAUUUAGUUGGGCACUCUGAAAGAACUGCCAGUGAUAAGCUGGAGGAAGGUGGGGAUGACGUCAAGUCCUCAUGGCCCUUACGUGUUGGGCUACACACGUGCUACAAUGGCAUUUACANUAGGAGGCAAANCGGCGACGUUANGCAANUCCUAAAAAAAUGCCUCAGUUCGGAUUGUACUCUGCAACUCGAGUACAUGAAGCUGGAAUUACUAGUAAUCGCGGAUCAGCGCGCCGCGGUGAAUACGUUCCCGGGUCUUGCACACACCGCCCGUC